UACGUAGGGUCCGAGCGUUGUCCGGAAUUAUUGGGCGUAAAGGGCUCGUAGGCGGUUUGUCGCGUCGGGAGUGAAAACACCGGGCUUAACUCGGUGCUUGCUUUCGAUACGGGCAGACUAGAGGUAUGCAGGGGAGAACGGAAUUCCUGGUGUAGCGGUGAAAUGCGCAGAUAUCAGGAGGAACACCGGUGGCGAAGGCGGGUCUCUGGGCCGAUACUGACGCUGAGGAGCGAAAGCGUGGGGAGCGAACAGG
rnacentral:rRNA from 1 species